rnacentral:rRNA from 1 species
UACGGAGGGUGCAAACGUUGCUCGGAAUCAUUGGGCGUAAAGCGCACGUAGGCGGCCCAGCAAGUCGGGUGUGAAAGCCCUCGGCUUAACCGAGGAAGUGCAUUCGAAACUACUGAGCUUGAAUACUGGAGAGGAUCGCGGAAUUCCCGGUGUAGAGGUGAAAUUCGUAGAUAUCGGGGGGAACACCAGUGGCGAAGGCGGCGAUCUGGACAGAUAUUGACGCUGAGGUGCGAAAGCGUGGGGAGCAAACAGG